AUUGAACGCUGGCGGAAUGCUUUACACAUGCAAGUCGAACGGUAGAGGGGGCAACCCCUCGAGAGUGGCGAACGGGUGAGUAAUAUAUCGGAACGUGCCCAGUCGUGGGGGAUAACGUAGCGAAAGUUACGCUAAUACCGCAUACGAUCUAAGGAUGAAAGCGGGGGAUCGCAAGACCUCGCGCGAUUGGAGCGGCCUAUAUCAGAUCAGGUAGUUGGUGGGGUAAAGGCUCACCAAGCCAACGAUCUGUAGCUGGUCUGAGAGGACGACCAGCCACACUGGAACUGAGACACGGUCCAGACUCCUACGGGAGGCAGCAGUGGGGAAUUUUGGACAAUGGACGCAAGUCUGAUCCAGCCAUUCCGCGUGCAGGAUGAAGGCCCUCGGGUUGUAAACUGCUUUUGUACGGAACGAAAAGGUCUCUCUUAAUACGGGGGACUCAUGACGGUACCGUAAGAAUAAGCACCGGCUAACUACGUGCCAGCAGCCGCCGUAA
rnacentral:rRNA from 1 species